rnacentral:rRNA from 1 species
UACGGGGGGAGCAAACGUUGUUCGGAAUCACUGGGCGUAAAGGGCGUGUAGGCGGCUGGAUAAGUGGGAUGUUAAAUCCCCCGGCUCAACCGGGGACCUGCAUCUCAUACUAUUCAGCUCGAGCACAUCAGAGGAGACUGGAAUUCCCGGUGUAGCGGUGAAAUGCGUAGAUAUCAGGAGGAACACCGGUGGCGAAGGCGGGUCUCUGGGCAACAACUGACGCUGGAGGAGCGAAAGCGUCGGGGAGCGAACAAG